rnacentral:rRNA from 1 species
AUGUGCCGAGGCCAGGAAACAGUAGGGUAUAGGAGCACCCCUUCUUUCCAAUUAGUUGUUUUUGUAUUAAUUGCGAUUUCCUCGGUCUUAGUAAUUAGUGUACCCCUUGUAUUUGCUUCUGCUGAUGGUUGAUCAAAUAAUAAAACGGUUGUACUUUCCUCAAACCAUGUCUAG